UCGGAAGGUGCGGCUGGAUCACCUCCUUUCUCGAGCUGAACGUGUCAAACGUUGAGCGCUCACGCUUAUCGGCUGUGAAAUUAAGACAGAUACGCAGACAGACUCAGGGGUCUGUAGCUCAGUUGGUUAGAGCACCGUCUUGAUAAGGCGGGGGUCGAUGGUUCGAAUCCAUCCAGACCCACCACUGUUUCUGCGGUGGCUGCAGCUAACCGGUGAAGACCCCGGGACGAUCAGAUGCGUUAUCUGUAUGACUGGGGGAUUAGCUCAGCUGGGAGAGCACCUGCUUUGCAAGCAGGGGGUCGUCGGUUCGAUCCCGUCAUCCUCCACCAAUCUUCAAUGCGUAGCGUUCUGCUGAAGUGGAAAGCAGAGCGUUUUGCAUUGGCGAUUGAGCCAGUCAGAGUGAUAUGAAGCAGAGCUUUAUAUCGGCUGUCGUUCUUUAACAAUCAGGAAGAAGUAGUAAAGAGAUUCACGAAAGGACACCUGGAGAUGGGUGUGCGAGUAGGUGAAUCAGGGUUGUGAUUGUAUCAAUGUAUGAAAAGGUGAUCGAAAGAUUGCUUUGGAAUACGGCGCAACACGAAUACUCAACCUGUAGCGAUUGUGAGGAACACGUCAUCCCCAGUGGGUGGUGUGGGAGACACACCCGUUAUAGGGUCAAGCGAACAAGUGCAUGU
rnacentral:misc_RNA from 1 species